UACGGAGGGAGCUAGCGUUGUUCGGAAUUACUGGGCGUAAAGCGCACGUAGGCGGCUUUGUAAGUUAGAGGUGAAAGCCCGGGGCUCAACCCCGGAAUUGCCUUUAAGACUGCAUCGCUUGAAUUGUGGAGAGGUAAGUGGAAUUCCGAGUGUAGAGGUGAAAUUCGUAGAUAUUCGGAAGAACACCAGUGGCGAAGGCGACUUACUGGACACAUAUUGACGCUGAGGUGCGAAAGCGUGGGGAGCAAACAGG
rnacentral:rRNA from 1 species